rnacentral:misc_RNA from 1 species
GAUGAAGAACGUAGCGAAAUGCGAUAAGUAAUGUGAAUUGCAGAAUUCAGUGAAUCAUCGAAUCUUUGAACGCACAUUGCGCCCGCCAGUAUUCUGGCGGGCAUGCCUGUUCGAGCGUCAUUUCAACCAUCAAGCCCCAGGCUUGUGUUGGGGACCUGCGGCUGCCGCAGGCCCUGAAAACCAGUGGCGGGCUCGCUGUCACACCGGGCGUAGUAGAUUUUAUCUCGCUCAGGGCGUGCUGCGGGUUCCGGCCGUUAAAAAGCCUUUUUUACCCAAGGUUGACCUCGGAUCAGGUAGGAAGGCCCGCUGAACUUAAGCAUAUCAAUAAGCGGAGGA